GACUCUCGACAAUGGAUAUCGCGGCUCUCGCAUCGAUGAAGAAAGUAGUGAAAUGUGAUACUUGGUGUGAAUUAUAGAAUCCCGUGAACCAUUGAGUCUUUAAAUGCAAGUUACGCCUGAAGCUAUCCGAUCGAGGGCAUAUCUGCCUUGGUACC
rnacentral:rRNA from 1 species